AUAUAUAAUAAAAUUAGUAGAGAAUUUAAACUGUAAGAUUGUGAUAGU
rnacentral:guide_RNA from 1 species